CUAACUUCUGUAUAAUUUCAGAACUGGGUCGACUUACCACAAUAAACAACACGAUGAAUGACACGUCCGGAGAUAUGAACCACGUGGGCAAAGUCGACGGUGUGUUUACAAACAAAAGUCAGCUGAUCAGUAUAGUACAACUAGACUACACGAGGAAGUCGAAGAUAUUAUGGCCUGAAGAUCCACAGUGUUCGUGGAUGGAGGUGAGGUUCGGUGUGGAACUGAAGAGGGCGUGGUUGCUUUCCUUCCCUCGGUCAGGCAACACGUGGACUCGCUACCUGCUGGAGGCCGCCACGGGACUCUUCACCUCCUCCGUCUACAAUUCCACUCACUUGAGGGGCCUAGGGUACCUGGGAGAGAGUGAGCCUCCAUGGCGGGGUACCACCUUCACUGUCAAGACCCACUCCUUUGAAUCCCUCAUCCGCCACCCUCACCUGCCUGUUGUCGCCAUCAUCAGGAGCCCGGCCAGGGCCAUCCUCUCCUACUGGAACUUAAGCAACAUGAAGCUCGCUUGGAGGAGGUUCAGAGGCUCCGUCAAGGACGCUUCCUACAAGACGGGAGGUUUCCAUAAGUUCGUGAGGGAGAGGUUGGAGAAAUGGAAAUCGACCUACGUUAACGCCCUGAGGAACACCACCCGCCUCCAUCUAGUGUACUAUGAGCAUCUACGAGAGGCGCCCUUGAGGGAGGUUCGUGCUAUUAUGACCUUCCUGGGGAUGAAGCCCUCCGAGUCUCGACUGGCCUGCCUGGCGCGUCACCUGGAAGGGGUGGCCAAGGGUUCCCAGCGGGAGAUGUACCCCUACACUGCCUGGGAGAGGGCCAGCUUCCAGCGUGCCAUUACACAGGUCGACACCCUAGCCAGGCUCCGCGGGUUCCCUCCCCUCCCAGACUAUCGCAGGUAUAGGAACUGAUGAAAAGUAAUCUUGAGGACUCACCUGAGGAAAUCCGAGGCGAUAGAUCUGGAGUCGGGGAGCAGCAUCAGGGAGCCACAGAGUACGAGAGCCACACAACUUACUAAGCAGUUUGGCCCAUUGCCCCAAUGGGCCACUUCUCUGCUGGUGCCAUAGUGAUCUGGCCCUCCCCGGCACUCUCAGACCAGGUAGUGAACAAUGCUACACUCGUUGGCACUCAGAUGGUCCUCAACACCACCCAGAUGGAUAUAACAGGUUCAGAUGGCUUCCCCUAAUAUGUUUGGCGGCGGUGAUGUUCGCAAUCAACAUGGGCGCUCACCCUCUCCCCUUCAUCCUCGCCGCCGAAUAUGUUCCUACUAACGUCCGAGGCCAGGGAGCAAAAUGACUACUUUUAUUCCACACUUCACUAUUAUCUACAUUACUGAAAUGUUACCUUUUAAAAUUCUAUGUUUUUGUUUCUGCAUUCGAAAUCCAGUGAUGUCUUUGUAUGGUUGGGCAGGUGUGAUCGGGUGGUCCUUGUGUUACUCUUCCUGCACCAUCUUCUCCUUCCUGACGCUGCAGUUCCACAGUCCCAUGCAGGAGAUGCUGACGCAGGCAGGACUCUACUGAUUCUACGCCAGUGUCAGCUGCAUUGGUGUCAUAUUUACCUUCAUUUUUGUUGAAGAAACUAAAGGCAAGACAGUUGGUUAAGGAUAAAAGUGUGAACGCUUAUGUCUUGGAUGGCAUUCCUGUUGAGGGACCUGACUGUCGUCCAGUUGAGUAUUCACCUCAGCCGUCUUAUUGUGCUGAGGUCAUGUCAGAAUCAUUUAUACCUGUACACAGCCUCACUGGUUAAUACAUUUUAUAA